rnacentral:lncRNA from 1 species
ACAUGUUCAGUCUUCAUUUAUGUCAACAUAGUAUCUUUUGAACAUCAUGAAGCUUUUGUAAUGUUGCAUUCUACUAAUAUAUGGAGUUGGCCACUGCUUUGCCUGAGGAUGACAAUUGGUAGACCAUAACAAUGCUACAGGCGGUAAAUGAUAACGGUCUUUUAAAUAAACUUGUUCUACAUGCAGAAACAAUAUUAACUCAACCAUAG